UCCUGCCCCCGCCCCCGUCCCCGCCAGUCUCCUCAGCCCUCGUCCUCGUCUUCAUCUCCUCGCCUAUGCAAGCGAGCAGGUGCUGGUGGUGGUUUGAUCUGUCGUGGGGGAGGCGGCAGGCUCGGCUUGAUGGUGGAAAUAAUAAAUCCAGGUCAAGGAGAAGUGCUUCCGCUUCAUUCCUAUGUUGCUUCCUUUGAUUCAGCUGCUCGGCCUUGCUCGCUCUACUGCAGCGAUGGAUUCCGUCGCCGCACAUGCCGGUUGACGAGGAGGAGCUGCGGCGUGGUCGGAGAACUGACUGCAUCUACUACCACGCCUCCCCGUUGACCUGCAAGAAGGUACACAACGAUGAUGAGGUCAGAGCCUUGUUUAAGCAAGUGCAAGGAGAAGUUCCUGGAUCUCCUAUAUUUAUUAUGAAAGUGGCAUCUCAGAGCCAACAUCUAGAGGUUCAAUUGCUCUGUAACAAGCAUGACAACGUGGCAGCACUGGACAGUCGAGACUGUAGUGUUCAAAGAAGGCACCAAAAGGUUCGUUAUUCUCCUGAAACAUUGUGUUGUUCAAUAUCAGUUUUGUUGGAAUUAGUCUGAGCCAAACAUUUGUGUACUGAGUAUUGGUAGAAGUUCUACAGCUUCAAGGAAUUACAACUUCAUUGGACGAUGUAGCAAAGUGCAAAAUGUUGCACGAGUUAUACAAAAUUUAAGUCUUAGGAUUUCCUCCAAUGCAAUCGUUUAUUUCUGUCAGUUAUACUUAUACUGUACUAAAUAGUUGAAUGUUGCAUUUCAAAUUCAAGAACAAACCUUUUCUUCCUGUAUUGAUAUAUGUGUCGGGACGUCGGCCUCUCUCUCCCUGAGCUAGCGCGCUGCCGAACGGCAGGGCCCGUCCAUUCGGCUUCGAUCUGAUCGGGGGCUUUCUUAUCCUUUGGCUUACGAUUCGAGGUGCGCUCGUGCGUGCGCACGAUUUCGUCUUGAUUUCUGGUGAGUGACUGAGAUCUGCUCUGCUCUGCUCGGUGCCGGAAAACUCAAGGUUUCAAUCGAGCUGAAUUAGGGAAGGAUGCCGAAGUUACAUGUACACAACCCUUAUAUUCUACUCCCUCCGUUCCAAAUUACUUGUCACAGGUAUGGAUGUAUCUAGAUGUAUUUUAGUUCUAGAUACAUCCAUUUUUACGACGAGUAAUUUGGAACGGAGGGAGUACUAACAAUGGCUCUCUUUUGGAGAUCGCUCGCUGAAGUUAUUCGCCUUUGGUUACCCCAGGGGGAAAUUUUCAAGCUUGCUUCACAGGCAGUAGCUCCUCCUUCCCCAACCCCACUUUGUCUCCCCUGUGAUUUGCCUGUUCCUGAUCUUGGUGGCUGGCAUGUCUCAAAUUCUCAUUGGGCAGGGCUACUAACGUAAUGGAGCAAACUGGAAAUUCCACCUGCAUAUUUUAGGGUUCUUACGGAUCAUGCUGGUCACUCCGGGGCAUUGGAGUGGGCCAACUUCCUAACGACGGGCAAGAUGGAGCUGAUCGGCUGCUCGGCAGCGACCAUGAGGUGAGGCGUGGUGCCAGCUGCAGCGGGUGCAGGAAGCAACAACAUAUAAAGAUGGGCGCCGAGUGUUGCAGGUAACUUUGCCAGAUGGUUUGAUGUCCGCGCUUGAGAUUCUUCAAUUUAUUAUGGAUGUAGAUUGCUAUCCAAAUGUCUCUCUUGCCUAUCGGAUCCUCUCAAGAGUGCCUGUGUCCAUAGCCUCAGCUGAAAGAAGUCUCUCUAAACUGAAACUAUUGGAAAAUUAUUUGAGGUCAACUAUGUUGCAAGACAGAUUGAAUGACUUGGCUAUGUGUUGCAUUGAGAAGGAUAUGUUGGACAAUGUUGAUCUUGAUUAUGCCCUUAAUGACUCUACAUCAAGAAAUGCCCGAAGAAACUUUUUUUGAAGCAUCGAAGUAUUAUUGUUGUCGAUGGAGUCGGUCGAAUUUGGUUCUUAUUUAAGGUAAUCAUGUCUUAUUAGUUCCAUUUUGCUAUAUUUUUUGUAUUUGUGUCAUAAUAUGACAUUGCCCAAAAAUUACUAUAGUCAAAUCUCAAACUAAA